rnacentral:rRNA from 1 species
UACGGGGGGAGCAAGCGUUGUUCGGAUUUACUGGGCGUAAAGGGCGCGUAGGCGGCCUCUGCAAGUCGACUGUGAAAUCUCCGGGCUUAACCCGGAAAGGUCAGCCGAUACUGCAGGGCUAGAGUGGCAGAAGGGGCAACUGGAAUUCUCGGUGUAGCGGUGAAAUGCGUAGAGAUCGGGAGGAACACCGGCGGCGAAGGCGGCUGCCUGGACCGGCCCUGACGCUGAGGCGCGAAAGCCAGGGGAGCGAACGGGG